rnacentral:rRNA from 1 species
GAUGAACGCUGGCGGCGUGCCUAAUACAUGCAAGUCGAACGAGGCCCUUUGUAUUCGUAUGAAGGUGUCCUAGUGGCGAACGGGUGAGUAACACGUAGGUAACCUACCCCGAAGAGGGGGAUAACCUCGGGAAACUGAGGCUAAUACCCCAUGUGCUCCACGGUAUUAGAUGACCAUGGAGUAAAGGAGUAAUCCGCUUUGGGAGGGGCCUGCGGCCCAUCAGCUAGUUGGUAGGGUAAUGGCCUACCAAGGCUAUGACGGGUAGGGGGCCUGAGAGGGUGGUCCCCCACACUGACACUGAAACACGGGUCAGACACCUACGGGUGGCAGCAGUAGGGAAUAUUGCACAAUGGGCGAAAGCCUGAUGCAGCAACGCCGCGUGCGCGAUGAAGGCCUUCGGGUUGUAAAGCGCUUUUCUGGGGGAAGAGUAAGGACGGUACCCCAGGAAUAAGUCUCGGCUAACUACGUG